CUGACAUCAUGAAAUGGACAACUAUUUGGCAAUUCCCAUUACCCGUACUUGUUGGUCAUUGCCACAGUAACAGUAUAAAUACAUGUAAUAAUGGUACAUACAUGCUGAUAAUUUUGACAUAGGUAGAAAUGAUUUUGGUAGCAAUGACCAGUUAUGCAUGGGCAUUUUAAGAAUUACCAAUUAUCUUAACAAUUUUUGGAUAUGUCUGCAACAGCUGUGAAGAGUCAUUGGGUAUAAAGGGACCAAGGGUGACAAUCCAUCACAAAAAGGAAGGGAUGGAGGCAGCCAAUACACUAUUUAUCAGCUAUUUAGCUCUUAUAAUAAUUAAUAAUGUCAUAAUGUGAAUGCUGAGAGAGUUUGAGAGAAUACAUCUUCACAACUGUUACAAUAUACCUGACUAUACUUUAAUGAAUUAUAAUAUUUCAGACAUUACUAGCAAACAUGCUGAGGAAAUCCAUUGACAUUCCACUCUCCAAUCCAUAUAUAGUUUUCAACUUUGCCCAAAGUAGCCAGGCACAACAUCCUUGGACAACCCAGAUAAUAAAGCAAAUAACUCGUUGACAAAGCGCAUUAAAGUAAAAUAAAUAACAAUAGCCUUCUUGACAUCACAGUGAAAACAAAACGGUUCAACGAAUCCGUACAAACCCCGAACAUUUCCUACGAUUAUUGAAAACAUGAUAAACUGAGUAAAUAAAUAUGGGUUUCUGAUACUCGUUUUGCCCCCUAUCCGCCGUCAAAUUCCUGCCAGCCACAGCCGAGCUUCCCUUUGUAGUAUUGGCGCUGGAUUUAUGGAAUUAGUCAUCUUCCGUGGCACAUUUAAUCCAGAGAAUCAUGAGCUUCGAGUAAAGUUUCAACUUGCUCGGCACAUUCAUCCACGAAAAACGCGACGUUUUGGCAGCUUUUCUCCCGAGUGCAGCUACCAAGGGCCUCCAUUACUUUCUGAAAAUAAUCUACCAGCCGUUCG